rnacentral:rRNA from 1 species
GUACUUGGUGUUACUGCGAAGGGGGGACGGAGAAGGCUAUGUUGGCCGGGCGACGGUUGUCCCGGUUUAAGCGUGUAGGCUGGUUUUCCAGGCAAAUCCGGAAAAUCAAGGCUGAGGCGUGAUGACGAGGCACUACGGUGCUGAAGCAACAAAUGCCCUGCUUCCAGGAAAAGCCUCUAAGCAUCAGGUAACAUCAAAUCGUACCCCAAACCGACACAGGUGGUCAGGUAGAGAAUACCAAGGCGCUUGAGAGAACUCGGGUGAAGGAACUAGGCAAAAUGGUGCCGUAACUUCGGGAGAAGGCACGCUGACACGUAGGUGAAGUGAUUUACUCAUGGAGCUGAAGUCAGUCGAAGAUACCAGCUGGCUGCAACUGUUUAUUAAAAACACAGCACUGUGCAAACACGAAAGUGGACGUAUACGGUGUGACGCCUGCCCGGUGCCGGAAGGUUAAUUGAUGGGGUCAGCGCAAGCGAAGCUCCUGAUCGAAGCCCCGGUAAACGGCGGCCGUAACUAUAACGGUCCUAAGGUAGCGAAAUUCCUUGUCGGGUAAGUUCCGACCUGCACGAAUGGCGUAAUGAUGGCCAGGCUGUCUCCACCCGAGACUCAGUGAAAUUGAACUCGCUGUGAAGAUGCAGUGUACCCGCGGCAAGACGGAAAGACCCCGUGAACCUUUACUAUAGCUUGACACUGAACAUUGAGCCUUGAUGUGUAGGAUAGGUGGGAGGCUUUGAAGUGUGGACGCCAGUCUGCAUGGAGCCGACCUUGAAAUACCACCCUUUAAUGUUUGAUGUUCUAACGUGGACCCGUAAUCCGGGUUGCGGACAGUGUCUGGUGGGUAGUUUGACUGGGGCGGUCUCCUCCUAAAGAGUAACGGAGGAGCACGAAGGUUGGCUAAUCCUGGUCGGACAUCAGGAGGUUAGUGCAAUGGCAUAAGCCAGCUUGACUGCGAGCGUGACGGCGCGAGCAGGUGCGAAAGCAGGUCAUAGUGAUCCGGUGGUUCUGAAUGGAAGGGCCAUCGCUCAACGGAUAAAAGGUACUCCGGGGAUAACAGGCUGAUACCGCCCAAGAGUUCAUAUCGACGGCGGUGUUUGGCACCUCGAUGUCGGCUCAUCACAUCCUGGGGCUGAAGUAGGUCCCAAGGGUAUGGCUGUUCGCCAUUUAAAGUGGUACGCGAGCUGGGUUUAGAACGUCGUGAGACAGUUCGGUCCCUAUCUGCCGUGGGCGCUGGAGAACUGAGGGGGGCUGCUCCUAGUACGAGAGGACCGGAGUGGACGCAUCACUGGUGUUCGGGUUGUCAUGCCAAUGGCACUGCCCGGUAGCUAAAUGCGGAAGAGAUAAGUGCUGAAAGCAUCUAAGCACGAAACUUGCCCCGAGAUGAGUUCUCCCUGAGACUUAGAGUCUCCUGAAGGAACGUUGAAGACGACGACGUUGAUAGGCCGGGUGUGUAAGCGCAGCGAUGCGUUGAGCUAACCGGUACUAAUGAACCGUGAGGCUUAACCUU